GUCGGCUGGAAGCCUGCGGGGCAUCAGGGCCGCGAGACCUGGAAGGAGCAGGACUCUUGGAGAGGCAGAUGGUCUCGGUUGCUGCCGGACCGGUGCUGGCGGCCCCUGUCCUGGCCACAGUCCUGGGUAUGAUAGUCCUCCCCGCGGGCAGCCGCGGAUGCUCCCUAGCGCCCCUGUCCUCUUGCGACGCGGCUGCCCUGUGCUUCACCCGGUUCCGAGGCUCCUGGCAGAAGGUGGCGACAGGUGCGGACGCGGAGCCAUGACCGCGCUGCCGCGAUCCAAGGCGGUUUAGUGCCCCCCCCCCGCCCGGUCUGUUGGUCAGGUUGGGAACUCUCCACGCCUCUCUUGGUCCCUCUAUGCUCACCUGCCUUUCCCCGAACUGGAGUUCCUAGUGUGACUCCCAGAGCCCUCUGCAGAGUCUCCGAAACGUCCAGCAGUGCGUGUGGCCCCCAGGCGCCCGUGGAGGAGGGCUGCGGCUCAGCAGGACCAGGUGCUUGCAGUCGGCGGGGAAGUGGGAAUUGUGCCGACAGCAGAGCGCGAGGGGACAUGGGAACCCUGGCGGCCGGGUGCAGGUCCGUGAACUGCGGUGGGAAGGACAUAGAACCAGGGCCGAGGUGCCCAGAGCCAGCACUAUGCCUGAUUUAGGGCACUGUUUAGGCACUGCUAUGGGGGCGGGGGGUGGUGGUGUCUGACUGGGAUUGUAGGGGGACAAGAGGUGUCUCCAGGGACGGGUACCAGGAUUUUCCAGAGAGAAAGGACAACUGGAUUCAGGACCAGCAGGAUCAUUGGAAUAUGGCAGAUAACUCCAGCACAUGCCGGGCAAAGUCACAGACAGGUUUAUUUAGGAAAACAGAUCCACAUUCAAGGGACGGGGGGAGCACUCUCUAAAUGGAGAUGUCUUUGGGAAAAGCCAGGAAUACUACUCAAAGGCCAACCCAGGCCUUCAGAGGGAGAGGCAGCAACUGGUGGGUGUGGGGAGUUAAUGUUUCUAGAGGGGGCUGCAGGGGCUGGACAGGAGAUGGGGACAGGGUGGAAUGUACAAUCUGAAGAGUUUUUCCUUUGUUUGCACUUUCCCUCAUUUUAAAUGGGUCUGGCCAAGGGCCAGCCACUCAAGAUCUCCAGCUGUGCUUUGGGCAUCUCAGGCUUGUGGGACUUUAAGAUUCUCUCUCUCUAUCCUAAAACCCCAUCACAGAACUAGGAGAAGGAUGAAAUAGAGGGGAGGCCCUACUUAGCUGAUGGAGGAGGACACUGUGGGCUGAUGGCCCUGGGCUCACAGCUUGUGAGUAUUUACUCUGAGCCAGGCUGGGUUCAGGAAUUGGGAGGGUGGGGCUCAGGAGGCCAGUUUGCCCACUGGAGACAGGUUUGGAGAGCCGUAGAGCACCGCCCUGCCUACACAAGAGGGAAGCACUUGAGGAGUUGGGAGUUUAUCCCGGGCUGUGGCCUGCCGCUCCUAUUAUGGCUAAGUUUUCCUGGUCCAUCAUGAAGCGGGAGAAAAGAGAUAAGCAUAGUUACAAAGGACUCUAGCAGGAAGGGGAAAGGAGACCAACUCUAAAUCACCUUCACUCUCCAAGCUGUCUCCUCCAGAUGAGAACCCUUAAACCUCCUUGGUCCUCCUGGGUGUGGUGAGUGGCUGAGAUGCCUGCGUACCGUAACGCAACAUUUUUUUUUUUUUGGUGGUGGUGCUGGAGAUGGAACCCAGGGCCUUGUGCAUACAAGUCAAGCACUCCCAACUGAGCUGCAUCCCAGCCCCAGCAUGCGCUUUGGAUGGACUAAAGCCAGGGGAAAGGUGCUGUUGGAGACUUACAUGGUGUAUCCCAGGUGUUGAUGUCAGCCUGGAUGUCCCCGAAAGAAGCAGGCACGUGACCUGCCCUGUGUUCCGUGGUUAAGAGGAUUGAGGUCACCCCACCCACUUCUCAUGUUCACUGUUCACCGAAUUUCCUUUAAAAAGAAGAACCCAAGACCCCCAAAGAGCAGCUACGGCUGAGUGGCCCCACCCUUCUUCUGCAUGUGUGUCCCGUUCCAUUGCUUGCUUUACUGAAUAAAGCUUGCUCUCCUAAAUAAAUGCC
rnacentral:lncRNA from 1 species